rnacentral:misc_RNA from 1 species
UUGAGCAGGUUAGCGCCGGGC